GAAAACCAAAGAUUGGAGAGAGAGAGAGAGAAAUGGAGACGCAUGCUCUCACAGAACACCUCCAUUUCAAUAGAAGGCCAUAGCAGUACCCACUCAGUCUCCUCUGCUCCAAGUUGAGUCCAGUAUCUUUAGGGAUUUUCCAGAGUUACAAGCUUGGCACAAGCAACAGGGGAGCAGAGACAAUAGUUGCAGGGCGACCAGAACUGAACACAAUAUUCCAAGUGCAGCAUCACCAGCAUCUUGUACAACCACACCAUGACCUCCCAACUUCUAUAUUCAAUGCCCUGACUGAUGAAGACUGCUUGUCAGAAGCCUUCUUCACCACCCUGUCUACCUGUGAGAUUUUGCCUCAACCUGUGGAGCAGUUUCA